GACGAACGCUGGCGGCAUGCCUAACACAUGCAAGUCGAACGAGACCUUCGGGUCUAGCGGCGCACGGGUGCGUAACGCGUGGGAACCUGCCCUUAGGUUCGGAAUAACUCCCCGAAAGGGGUGCUAAUACCGGAUAAUGUCUUCGGACCAAAGAUUUAUCGCCUUUGGAUGGGCCCGCGUUGGAUUAGCUAGUUGGUAGGGUAAAAGCCCACCAAGGCGACGAUCCAUAGCUGGUCUGAGAGGAUGAUCAGCCACACUGGGACUGAGACACGGCCCAGACUCCUACGGGAGGCAGCAGUGGGGAAUAUUGGACAAUGGGCGAAAGCCUGAUCCAGCAAUGCCGCGUGAGUGAUGAAGGCCUUAGGGUUGUAAAGCUCUUUUACCCGGGAUGAUAAUGACAGUACCGGGAGAAUAAGCUCCGGCUAACUCCGUG
rnacentral:rRNA from 1 species